rnacentral:rRNA from 1 species
GACGAACGCUGGCGGCGUGCCUAAUACAUGCAAGUAGAACGCACAGUUUAUACCGUAGCUUGCUACACCAUAGACUGUGAGUUGCGAACGGGUGAGUAACGCGUAGGUAACCUGCCUGGGAUCGGGGGAUAACACUUGGAAACGAUAGCUAAUACCGCAUAAUAUUAAUUAUUCCAUGAUAAUUAAUUGAAAGGUGCAAUUGUACCACUACAAGAUGGAUCUGCGCUGUAUUAGCUAGUAGGUAAGGUAACGGCUCACCCAGGGGACGAUACAUAGCCGACCUGAGAGGGUGAUCGGCCACACUGGAACUGAGACACGGCCCAGACUCCUACGGGAGGCAGCAGUAGGGAAUCUUCGGCAAUGGACGAAAGUCUGACCGAGCAACGCCGCGUGAGUGAAGAAGGUCUUCGGAUCGUAAAGCUCUGUUGUUAGAGAAGAACGGGUGUGAGAGUGGAAGGUCCAAACUGUGACGGUAUCUUACCAGAAAGGAAGGGCUAACUCCGU